GAUGAACGCUGGCGGCGUGCCUAAUACAUGCAAGUCGAGCGAACGGACGAGAAGCUUGCCUCUCUGAUGUUAGCGGCGGACGGGUGAGUAACACGUGGAUAACCUACCUAUAAGACUGGGAUAACUUCGGGAAACCGGAGCUAAUACCGGAUAAUAUUUUGAACCGCAUGGUUCAAAAGUGAAAGACGGUCUUGCUGUCACUUAUAGAUGGAUCCGCGCUGCAUUAGCUAGUUGGUAAGGUAACGGCUUACCAAGGCAACGAUGCAUAGCCGACCUGAGAGGGUGAUCGGCCACACUGGAACUGAGACACGGUCCAGACUCCUACGGGAGGCAGCAGUAGGGAAUCUUCCGCAAUGGGCGAAAGCCUGACGGAGCUACGCCGCGUGAGUGAUGAAGGUCUUCGGAUCGUAAAACUCUGUUAUUAGGGAAGAACAUAUGUGUAAGUAACUGUGCACAUCUUGACGGUACCUAAUCAGAAAGCCACGGCUAACUACGUG
rnacentral:rRNA from 1 species